CAAGGUGUAGCUAAAGAAAUUUAAAGCGUUUCACUUACAAUGAAGAGGUAGCCGGUUAGUUAAGGUUCAUCUUGG
rnacentral:tRNA from 1 species